CUGAUGCAGCCAUGCCGCGUGUGUGAAGAAGGCCUUCGGGUUGUAAAGCACUUUCAGCGAGGAGGAAAGGUUGGCAGCUAAUAUCUGUCAGCUGUGACGUUACUCGCAGUAAGAAAGCACCGGCUAACUCCGUGCCAGCAGCCGCGGUAAUACGGAGGGUGCAAGCGUUAAUCGGAAUUACUGGGCGUAAAGCGCACGCAGGCGGUUGGAUAAGUUAGAUGUGAAAGCCCCGGGCUCAACCUGGGAAUUGCAUUUAAAACUGUUCAGCUAGAGUCUUGUAGAGGGGGGGUAGAAUUCCAGGUGUAGCGGUGAAAUGCGUAGAGAUCUGGA
rnacentral:rRNA from 1 species